rnacentral:rRNA from 1 species
CCUACGGGCGGCAGCAGUGAGGAAUAUUGCACAAUGGUGGAAACCCUGAUCCAGCAACGCCGCGUGAGUGAUGACGGCCUUGGGGUUGUAAAACUCUUUCUUCAGGGGCGCUAAUGACGGUACGUGAGGAGGAAGCCACGGCUAACUACGUGCAAGCAGCCGCGGUAAUACGUAGGUGGCGAGCGUUGUCCGGAUUUACUGGACGUAAAGGGGGCGUAGGAGGACUUUUAAGUGAGAUGGGAAAUACUCGGGCUCAACUUGAGUGCUGCAUUUCAAACUGGAAGUCUAGAGUGCAGGAGAGGAGAAUGGAAUUCCUAGUGUAGCGGUGAAAUGCGUAGAGAUUAGGAAGAACACCAGUGGCGAAGGCGAUUCUCCGGACUGUAACUGACGCUGAGGCUCGAAAGCGUGGGGAGCAAACAGGAUUAGAUACCCGAGUAGUC